rnacentral:rRNA from 1 species
GAUGAACGCUGGCGGCGUGCCUAAUACAUGCAAGUCGAGCGAACGGACGAGAAGCUUGCUUCUCUGAUGUUAGCGGCGGACGGGUGAGUAACACGUGGAUAACCUACCUAUAAGACUGGGAUAACUUCGGGAAACCGGAGCUAAUACCGGAUAAUAUUUUGAACCGCAUGGUUCAAAAGUGAAAGACGGUCUUGCUGUCACUUAUAGAUGGAUCCGCGCUGCAUUAGCUAGUUGGUAAGGUAACGGCUUACCAAGGCAACGAUGCAUAGCCGACCUGAGAGGGUGAUCGGCCACACUGGAACUGAGACACGGUCCAGACUCCUCGGGAGGCAGCAGUAGGGAAUCUUCCGCAAUGGGCGAAAGCCUGACGGAGCAACGCCGCGUGAGUGAUGAAGGUCUUCGGAUCGUAAAACUCUGUUAUUAGGGAAGAACAUAUGUGUAAGUAACUGUGCACAUCUUGACGGUACCUAAUCAGAAAGCCACGGCUAACUACGUG